rnacentral:snRNA from 1 species
ACUAACAAUUUCAUUAGUGGUCAAUUUGAAACGAUACAGAGAAGAUUAGCAUGGCCCCUGCACUAAGGAUGACACGCUCAAUCAAAGAGAAGCUACCAAUUUUU